rnacentral:tRNA from 1 species
GAGGGUACAGCUCAAUGGUAGGGCUCAUGCUUAGCAUGCAUGAGGUCCUGGGUUCAAUCCCCAGUACCUCCA